CUUUCCCUCUGGCGGCAUGCCUUACACAUGCAAGUCGAACGGCAGCACGGGUGCUUGCACCUGGUGGCGAGUGGCGAACGGGUGAGUAAUACAUCGGAACAUGUCCUGUAGUGGGGGAUAGCCCGGCGAAAGCCGGAUUAAUACCGCAUACGAUCUACGGAUGAAAGCGGGGGACCUUCUGGCCUCGCGCUAUAGGGUUGGCCGAUGGCUGAUUAGCUAGUUGGUGGGGUAAAGGCCUACCAAGGCGACGCUCAGUAGCUGGUCUGAGAGGACGACCAGCCACACUGGGACUGAGACACGGCCCAGACUCCUACGGGAGGCAGCAGUGGGGAAUUUUGGACAAUGGGCGAAAGCCUGAUCCAGCAAUGCCGCGUGUGUGAAGAAGGCCUUCGGGUUGUAAAGCACUUUUGUCCGGAAAGAAAUCCUUGGCUCUAAUACAGUCGGGGGAUGACGGUACCGGAAGAAUAAGCACCGGCUAACUACGUG
rnacentral:rRNA from 1 species